rnacentral:rRNA from 1 species
CAGCCGCCACGGGAAUGCGUAGGGUGCAAGCGUUAAUCGGAAUUACUGGGCGUAAAGCGUGCGCAGGCGGUUUUGUAAGACAGAGGUGAAAUCCCCGGGCUCAACCUGGGAACUGCCUUUGUGACUGCAAGGCUGGAGUGCGGCAGAGGGGGAUGGAAUUCCGCGUGUAGCAGUGAAAUGCGUAGAUAUGCGGAGGAACACCGAUGGCGAAGGCAAUCCCCUGGGCCUGCACUGACGCUCAUGCACGAAAGCGUGGGAAGCAAACAGGAUUAGAUACCCCCGUAGUCCCUGUCUCUUAUAC